rnacentral:rRNA from 1 species
CAGUCGCCGCGGUAAUACGAAGGGUGCAAGCGUUACUCGGAAUUACUGGGCGUAAAGCGCACGCAGGCGGUCUGUCAAGUCAGAUGUGAAAUCCCCGGGCUUAACCUGGGAACUGCAUUUGAAACUGGCAGGCUAGAGUCUUGUAGAGGGGGGUAGAAUUCCAGGUGUAGCGGUGAAAUGCGUAGAGAUCUGGAGGAAUACCGGUGGCGAAGGCGGCCCCCUGGACAAAGACUGACGCUCAGGUGCGAAAGCGUGGGGAGCAAACAGGAUUAGAUACCCGGGUAGUCCCUGUCUCUUAUAC